GAUGAACGCUGGCGGCGUGCCUAAUACAUGCAAGUCGGGCGAACAGACGAGGAGCUUGCUCCUCUGACGUUAGCGGCGGACGGGUGAGUAACACGUGGAUAACCUACCUAUAAGACUGGGAUAACAACGGGAAACCGUUGCUAAUACCGCGUACGAUUCAUGAACGGCAUCGUUUAUGAAUGAAAGGUGGCCUCUAUGUAUAAGCUAUCGCUGAAGGAGGGGAUUGCGUCUGAUUAGCUAGUUGGAGGGGUAACGGCCCACCAAGGCAAUGAUCAGUAGCCGGUCUGAGAGGAUGAACGGCCACAUUGGGACUGAGACACGGCCCAAACUCCUACGGGAGGCAGCAGUGGGGAAUCUUCCGCAAUGGACGAAAGUCUGACGGAGCAACGCCGCGUGAGUGAUGAAGGUCUUCGGAUUGUAAAGCUCUGUUAAUCGGGACGAGAGAGUUCUGCGUGAAUAAUGCAGAAAAGUGACGGUACCGGAAUAGAAAGCCACGGCUAACUACGUGCCAGCCGCCGCGGUAA
rnacentral:rRNA from 1 species